rnacentral:rRNA from 1 species
GCAAGUCGAAUGAAUUUAUAUUCAUGGCAGACGAGGUAGGAACACGUGGGUACGUACCCUAGAGUCAGGAAUAACCUGUCGAAAGGCAGGAUAAUACUUGAUAGUCCCUUCGGGGUAAAGAUUUAUCGCUCUAUGAAUGGCCCGCGGUCUAUCAGCUUGUUGGUAAGGUAACGGCUUACCAAGGCUACGACGGAUAGGGGAGGUGAGAGCCUGACC